ACCUGGUGAUGUGGGCAUUUAUGCAAAAGGUCCCUAAAGUGCUUCUAUGACUUAAAAAAUUAUUCACCAUCUAUUUGUGAGAAACUAGUGAUUUCCUUCCUAAACU